GGUGAUUCUCUGGUGAUGCACCCUAGAAUCAGGCUCCCUCCUCUCUGGUUCCUGUUGUGUCACCCAAGAACCCCA
rfam:Myotis davidii contig141573, whole genome shotgun sequence.